rnacentral:rRNA from 1 species
GACGAACGCUGGCGGCGUGCUUAACACAUGCAAGUCGAACGGAAAGGCCCUGCUUGCAGGGUACUCGAGUGGCGAACGGGUGAGUAACACGUGGGUGAUCUGCCCUGCACUUCGGGAUAAGCCUGGGAAACUGGGUCUAAUACCGGAUAGGAGCCAUUUAUAGUGUGAUGGUUGGAAAGUUUUUUCGGUGUAGGAUGAGCUCGCGGCCUAUCAGCUUGUUGGUGGGGUAAUGGCCUACCAAGGCGGCGACGGGUAGCCGGCCUGAGAGGGUGGACGGCCACAUUGGGACUGAGAUACGGCCCAGACUCCUACGGGAGGCAGCAGUGGGGAAUAUUGCACAAUGGGCGCAAGCCUGAUGCAGCGACGCCGCGUGGGGGAUGACGGCCUUCGGGUUGUAAACUCCUUUCGCUAGGGACGAAGCUUUUUGUGACGGUACCUAGAUAAGAAGCACCGGCUAACUACGUG